UACGUAGGGAGCAAGCGUUGUUCGGAAUUACUGGGCGUAAAGAGUGUGUAGGCGGUGCUCUAAGUCUGUUGUGAAAUCUCCCGGCUUAACUGGGAGGGUGCAGCGGAAACUGGAAUGCUCGAGUAUGGGAGAGGUAAGCGGAAUUCCUGGUGUAGCGGUGAAAUGCGUAGAUAUCGGGAGGAACACCGGUGGCGAAGGCGGUUCUCUGGGCCUUACCUGACGCUGAGGAGCGAAAGCGUGGGGAGCGAACAGG
rnacentral:rRNA from 1 species